AUUGAACGCUGGCGGCAUGCCUUACACAUGCAAGUCGAACGGCAGCACGGGAGCAAUCCUGGUGGCGAGUGGCGAACGGGUGAGUAAUAUAUCGGAACGUGCCCAGUAGUGGGGGAUAGCCCGGCGAAAGCCGGAUUAAUACCGCAUACGACCUGAGGGUGAAAGCGGGGGAUCGCAAGACCUCGCGCUAUUGGAGCGGCCGAUAUCAGAUUAGCUUGUUGGUGGGGUAAAAGCCUACCAAGGCGACGAUCUGUAGCUGGUCUGAGAGGACGACCAGCAAAACGGGGACUGAGACACGGCCCAGAUCCCUACGGGAGGCAGCAGUGGGGAAUUUUGGACAAUGGGCGCAAGCCUGAUCCAGCCAUGCCGCGUGCGGGAAGAAGGCCUUCGGGUUGUAAACCGCUUUUGUCAGGGAAGAAACGGCUCUUGAUAAUACCGAGAGCUAAUGACGGUACCUGAAGAAUAAGCACCGGCUAACUACGUGCCAGCCGCCGCAGUAA
rnacentral:rRNA from 1 species